AUGGAUAGGGUCCCCUUGCCCGCGUGAAAGUCUCAUUCCUCCUCAGCUCAGAAACACUCCAAGGUGCGGGGACUCGUGGAAGGAUUUGAUUCGCGCUUGAGAAAGAUCGCUCCGCUCCUGUAAGGAAGAGAGCGUGUAGGGGCUGCAACCAGAGACACAGUCAGAAGCUCCGAGGCUACCGCGAUGGUCCAGGUGAGAAUGGAGGGGCCU
rnacentral:lncRNA from 1 species